rnacentral:rRNA from 1 species
GAUCCUGGCUUAGGAUGAACGCUAGCUACAGGCUUAACACAUGCAAGUCGAGGGGCAGCAUGAAGUUGCUGCAAACUUGAUGGCGACCGGCGCACGGGUGAGUAACGCGUAUCCAACCUGGCCCUUAGUAGGGGAUAGCCCGGCGAAAGUCGGAUUAAUACCCUAUGUUUUCCUAUGAGGACAUCUGAGCAGGAACAAAGAUUUAUCGCUAAGGGAUGGGGAUGCGUCUGAUUAGCUUGUCGGCGGGGUAACGGCCCACCGAGGCUACGAUCAGUAGGGGUUCUGAGAGGAAGGUCCCCCCACAUUGGUACUGAGACACGGACCAAACUCCUACGGGAGGCAGCAGUGAGGAAUAUUGGUCAAUGGGCGAGAGCCUGAACCAGCCAAGUAGCGUGCAGGAUGAACCUGCCCUAUGGGUUGUAAACUGCUUUUAUGCGGGAAUAAAGUGCAUCACGUGUGGUGUUUUGUAUGUACCGCAUGAAUAAGGACCGGCUAAUUCCGUGCCAGCAGCUGC